UUUUAUUAGAACUUAUUAAUAAUAAAGUCUGCUCAAUGAAAUUUAAAUAGCCGCUUUUGUGCUAAGGUAGCAUAAUAAUUUGUCUUUUAAUUAAAGACUAGAACAAAAGACUUAACAUCUCAACUAAUAUUUUUUAAAAAACUAUUUAAAUUAUUUUAAUUGUAAAAAAACAAUUUUUAAAAAGAAAGACGAUAAGACCCUAUCGAACUUUACUUUAGUUUAACUGGGGAAGUUAAUUAAUUAAUACUUUAAUAAUAUUAAAUACUCAAUUUGACCUAAUAUAAUUAAAAAAUAAUUAAUUACCGUAGGGAUAACAGCGUAAUAAAAUUUUUAAGAUCUUAUUUAAAAUAAAGAUUGCGACCUCGAUGUUGAUUUAAUAUCCUAAUUCACGCAAUAGUAAAUUAAGGAAGUCUGUUCGACUUUUAAAAAAUU
rnacentral:rRNA from 1 species